AUUGAACGCUGGCGGCAGGCCUAACACAUGCAAGUCGAGCGGGGUUUUCGGACCUAGCGGCGGACGGGUGAGUAAUGCGUAGGAAGCUGCCCGAUAGAGGGGGAUACCAGUUGGAAACGACUGUUAAUACCGCAUAAUGUCUACGGACCAAAGUGUGGGACCUUCGGGCCACAUGCUAUCGGAUGCGCCUACGUGGGAUUAGCUAGUUGGUGAGGUAAUGGCUCACCAAGGCGACGAUCUCUAGCUGGUUUGAGAGGAUGAUCAGCCACACUGGAACGGGGACACGGUCCGGACUCCUCCGGGAGGCAGCAGUGGGGAAUAUUGGACAAUGGGCGCAAGCCUGAUCCAGCCAUGCCGCGUGUGUGAAGAAGGCCUUCGGGUUGUAAAGCACUUUCAGCGAGGAGGAAGGGUGGUGUGUUAAUAGCACAUCAUUUUGACGUUACUCGCAGAAGAAGCACCGGCUAACUCUGUGCCAGCCGCCGCCGUAACAC
rnacentral:rRNA from 1 species